rnacentral:rRNA from 1 species
GGUGUAGCGGUGAAAUGCGUAGAGAUCUGGAGGAAUACCGGUGGCGAAGGCGCCCCCUUGGACAAAGACUGACGCUCAGGUGCGAAAGCGUGGGGAGCAAACAGGAUUAGAUACCUUGGUAGUCCACGCUGUAAACGAUGUCGACUUGGAGGUUGUUCCCUUGAGGAGUGGCUUCCGGAGCUAACGCGUUAAGUCGACCGCCUGGGGAGUACGGCCGCAAGGUUAAAACUCAAAUGAAUUGACGGGGGCCCGCCCAAGCGGUGGAGCAUGUGGUUUAAUUGGAUGCAACGGGAAGACCCUUACUUAUUCUUGACAUCCAGAGAACUUAGCAGAGAUGCUUUGGUCCCUUCGGGAACUUUGAGCCAGGUGCUGCAUGGCUGUCGUCAGCUCGUGUUGUGAAAUGUUGGGUUAAGUCCCGCAACGAGCGCAACCCUUAUCCUUUGUUGCCAGCGGUUAGGUCGGGAACUCAAAGGAGACUGCCAGUGAUAAACUGGAGGAAGGUGGGGAUGACGUCAAGUCAUCAUGGCCCUUACGAGUAGGGCUACACACGUGCUACAAUGGCAUAUACAAAGAGAAGCGACCUCGCGAGAGCAAGCGGACCUCAUAAAGUAUGUCGUAGUCCGGAUUGGAGUCUGCAACUCGACUCCAUGAAGUCGGAAUCGCUAGUAAUCGUAGAUCAGAAUGCUACGGUGAAUACGUUCCCGGGCCUUGUACACACCGCCCGUCACACCAUGGGAGUGGGUUGCAAAAGAAGUAGGUAGCUUAACCUUCGGGAGGGCGC